rnacentral:rRNA from 1 species
CAGCAGCCGCGGUAAUAAAGAGGGUGCGAGCGUUAAUCGGAUUUACUGGGCGUAAAGCGUGCGUAGGCGGCUAAUUGAGUCGGAUGUGAAAUCCCCGAGCUUAACUUGGGAAUUGCAUUCGAUACUGGUUAGCUAGAGUGUGGGAGAGGAUGGUAGAAUUCCAGGUGUAGCGGUGAAAUGCGUAGAGAUCUGGAGGAAUACCGAUGGCGAAGGCAGCCAUCUGGCCUAACACUGACGCUGAGGUACGAAAGCAUGGGGAGCAAACAGGAUUAGAUACCCGGGUAGUCCCUGUCUCUUAUAC